UAGUAAAAUCUCAAAUAUUUUUGUGUUGUUGCAUAGUUCAUAAGGAGAGAGUGUGCAAAGCAAGCCAGGGGUGUGGGGAUGAAAAGUCCAUGGUAUUGUGAUUUUUGAGCCCAAAACACAUAGCCAAGCGUGGAGGGAAUGCAACAUGAUCACUUAUCUCAUGUUUCUCGUUCAUAUCCUAUACCAUUUUCUCAAACAAUUAUCCCCGGAAAAAAUGCCGUGUCGCGCCAGAAAUCGCUUCCGGCGGCGGGGUUCCACCAAUCUAUAGAAAGCUACUACCAAAAUGAUAACCUCACCACCUUAUUCUCAAUUCUAUCAAUAAUUUACCCUAAACCUCACUCAAAUUCCCAAAUAGAGUCAAAAUAUGCAAGAACCCUAACCACUAAAACUGAAAUUAAACAUAAACUAAGGGGAAUUAAGCCACUCCACCUUGGGGCUUUCAUUCCCCUCAAUGAAGUCUACAUGUUGGUAUAAAAAUCGAGCAAACAAAGGAGGAAGUGGAGGAUGUCACCAACCUACAAGAUCGAGAUUUUUCUUGGGAGAUGUUGAAGAAUCCAAAAUUAAAGAUGGAAGUGGCAAUACUAGAGGAAAAUGCUUCAGGGCAAACACUUAUAUUGGUCAUGAGGCACCUUCCAUGAAGGUUUGGUCAAGGCAUAUGGAUUUGGCUCUUGAAGAUGCUUUGGAGGCUUGGAAGCACAAGGAAUAAAGUGUCUUGAAUAUGAAUAAGAAAAUAGACUACGAUGUAGGAGUUGGUUGACUUUGGUCAACUGUUUGGCCAAAUAGUCAACAAUUGACCAAAAAGUCAACUAUAGGCUAAAAAUGUGUAAUCUUGUAUAAGCUCUUGUAAUUUUGAAUUUGUAAUGAAAUGGUUUGAUGAUUUGAAAUGAAAAUGACUUAUUUUUGAAUGAA